GGUGGAAGAAGGAGGAGGGCGAUAUUUAGACAGAGACGGAGGAAGGCAGUAGCAGAGAGAUGCGGGAGGAAGAGACAGAAUGACGAGUGAGACAGAUAGGGAGAAAAAAUUGAAAUGAGACGGAGGGAGGGAGAGAGAGAGAGAGAGAGAGAGGUGAAACAAAGGAAGAGUUAGAUGGGGAGUGAGUGAGCUUUGUGGUCUCAGGCUCCAUGGGAGGUUCAGCCCAAUCAUUUAUAAAAGGUAAAUGCUGUCAGGACGCAGGGCGUUUAAAGGCGCGGCGCUGCAGGUGUGAUUUAUGCUCUCAGUACGGGGCUAUAAAUCACCCUGCCUUUGUUUCCACAGGCUGCUACUGCUGCUGCUGCUACUGCUGCUACUGCUGCCGCGUCAAGACAUACCCAUCCUUGCCUCAUCUACGGCAGGCACACACAGUGGACAGCAAUAAAGACAGAGCAAAGAAGCAUGAUGAUGGGAAUGGAUGGCUGGAUGGAGAGUGAGGAGAGAAGGGGUGACCAGUUGGAGUCUAUGAUGAGAUGUGUUGAGUCAAAGAGAUGCUGACAUCUUUGGAGAUGAUUGAUUCACCCCGUCUGGCCAGAGAGGAGUGGAGAGGAGAGCGGGGCUGGAUCCUCCCCGGGGCUGCAGCUUCCUGCCGCCCUGCCAUGGCACCACCACAGUGUCACUUCACUAGUGAUGGAGCUCCCAGCCCCUCACCCACACACCCGCACCGAGACCCCCAUCUCUUGUCUCCAAGCAAGCUGCUGCAAUCAGCAGAGGCCCUGAUUGGACUUGGGCAGGACAGAUUGGGAAGCCGUGAUGGCGGCACAGAAGUUGAGGGAGAAGCUAUUUAUCCCAGACGGAUCAGGAGGUGUGUGACGGAGGUGUGGACGGUUGCUGCAGGUCAGUGACGUUGGCAGGCGCCAGGCAGGCCGGCCCACAUGGCUCGGGGACUGUGGGACUACAGACAGAUGGCACCUGGUGGGUGACAAACAAUUAACAAACCAACAAGAAUAGCUGGAUCGGCAGUAUACCCACAAGCACAGGAGAUAGCAAGAGAGCGGGUGCAUCUGUGCUCUGAACACUUUCACUCUUUACUUUUCCUCUCCCCGAGUCUUGUUUUGUAUAACAGUUGCAAUUUACCCAUGUGUCUUUUUCACAAAAACACUCUUGUUGUCGUGUCGCUAUAGAACAGUCUAAAUAAAGCGGUGUUGAGCAUAUGCAGCUAGCAUAUGUUUCUGUUUAUUUCAGUGCAGUUUUGAGAGACGCAGUGGGUAAUUUAAAUGUACAAUACAAUGAAACAACACAUUUGAUAUCUACUUAAAUGUCAAGCAGAAGUUAGAAGCAAUCAUAUAAAGUUUCUUACAGCAAAAGCAUUACCUGGCAUCGUCGUGCUGUGUGUGUGAGCGUGUUUUUUGCACACACACACACACACACAAAAAAAAAAAAUCAUGCUAGAAAAUUGAUUCAGCGUGUUUGUUCAAAAGUGAACAUGGUGGCCGAUGGCAUUUCACCGCCUAACUACAUCCAAAUGUCA